rnacentral:rRNA from 1 species
UACGAAGGGGGCUAGCGUUGCUCGGAAUCACUGGGCGUAAAGCGCACGUAGGCGGAUUGUUAAGUCAGGGGUGAAAUCCUGGAGCUCAACCCCAGAACUGCCUUUGAUACUGACGAUCUCGAGUCCGGGAGAGGUGAGUGGAACUGCGAGUGUAGAGGUGAAAUUCGUAGAUAUUCGCAAGAACACCAGUGGCGAAGGCGGCUCACUGGCCCGGUACUGACGCUGAGGUGCGAAAGCGUGGGGAGCAAACAGG